UGGUGCUCCCUGGAGCUGAGC
rnacentral:miRNA from 1 species